GCUAGUCUCCACUCCUCAUUUCCUCCUGCUUCCCACUUCCCAGGCUGGCGAUGGCGGCUGAGCAGUGACCACCGCAAGACUCAAGAACCACUCUCCCGGAGGCCGGAGCCUCACCUGGCCCUCUCUUCCUGCUGCCGGAGCCGCUUCAGGAGCUUGGAUUUCGCCGCAGCUGAGGCCCAAUUGGAUAACGGGGAUCAAAAGUGCAGAAUGGUGUCUGAAUAG
rnacentral:lncRNA from 2 species